CAGUAAACGAUGAAUACUCGCUGUUUGCGAUACACUGUAAGCGGCCAAGCGAAAGCGUUAAGUAUUCCACCUGGGGAGUACGCCGGCAACGGUGAAACUCAAAGGAAUUGACGGGGGCCCGCACAAGCGGAGGAACAUGUGGUUUAAUUCGAUGAUACGCGAGGAACCUUACCCGGGCUUAAAUUGCGCUGGCUUUUACCGGAAACGGUAUUUUCUUCGGACCAGCGUGAAGGUGCUGCAUGGUUGUCGUCAGCUCGUGCCGUGAGGUGUCGGCUUAAGUGCCAUAACGAGCGCAACCCUUAUCUUUAGUUACUAACAGUUUUGCUGAGGACUCUAAAGAGACUGCCGUCGUAAGAUGCGAGGAAGGUGGGGAUGACGUCAAAUCAGCACGGCCCUUACGUCCGGGGCUACACACGUGUUACAAUGGGGAGCACAGCAGGUUGCUACACGGCGACGUGAUGCCAAUCCGUAAAACUCCUCUCAGUUCGGAUCGAAGUCUGCAACCCGACUUCGUGAAGCUGGAUUCGCUAGUAAUCGCGCAUCAGCCACGGCGCGGUGAAUAC
rnacentral:rRNA from 1 species